UUCCAAUUUUAUUGUUGUCAUUGUCAUUGUUGUUAUUUGUAUUUUUGUAAUUUAAGUUGUUAUUGUUUUGCUAGAGAAAUUGCUAGAGAAAGUGCCUUUGCCCAGAAAACUGCAAAUGGGAACACGGAGUCAAAUGCAGCAAUAGAACCCCAACAACAGCAGAUUAUACUCCCAAGUAAACUCUUAAAUGAAAACUUUCAAUUCUACCUGCAUUCCUGAUCACAUUCGGAAGCCUUGACUCCAAGUUCCUGCAAUGAGAGCAAAAUGAAAAACUUAUCUCGAAAAGGUAAAGUAAGGCAUGAUGUAUAAAAUGUUCAAAGAGA
rnacentral:lncRNA from 1 species